UCGGUAGGUAGAUAUCAUUUUUUGUUUCAAAUGGUUCAACUAUGCUCAUAAUUAUUUAAGCACCUACCAACUUGCAUGAUGAUGUUUAACGUUUGCAUUUUGACAUUUGGAAGUGAACUGACAUUGUUUAUUCGGUGAUACAACUAUACGAGUGAGAGAAGAAUGAAAGAGAAAAGCAUAGAGUUUGACACAAAUGAGAAGAACAUGAAAUCUACGACGGCGCCAGAAGAGGAAGGAGGAGGAUAUCGAUGAAGCUAGUUUCAAUUAUUUUCUAUACCACUUCUUUUUAUUGGUUUUUGUUUCGUUUAGGGUUUGCGGUUUUUAUUGUCCUCUCGUUAUAUUAUUGUGAACCAAAAGUCAUGGUUAUGACUUCCAUUUCCUCUCUAUUUAAUGUAGGAUUUAUGUUUUCUCUAUUGUGGUCCUUAAUUGUGCGUUUUCUUAUGUUGUAGUCCAUGUGUUAUAUGAAUUUUUUUACAACAGUGAUCUCAUGCAUUUUGAUGUUUGUGCAUGUUUGUUUACAUAAAUCCAGGUGUUGUCUGUGUCUCAAACCAUAAGUGAUGGAGGGUAGAUUUGAGUAUGUGGCACAUCAUGGAGAGGAUUUGGUAAUUUUGCUCAUACAAACUACCAUGGUUCGGAAACAAGUUGGUUUUGUUAUCCAGAUUUUUGUGUUUAUUUUAAAGUUUUUGGUAACUUGAAAAAAUUGGGUUACCCAUUUGUAUAUUCCAUGUGGUUUUAUGAUCCAAAGGACAAUAGGGAGAUGGUAUUGUUGAAUGAUGAUAUAGGUGCAAAGAGGGUGAAAAACAUAUCAUUAAGAAUAAAGGGCCAAGUGAAGAGGAUAAUGAGAAACGGACCUAUGAGGAAGAGAAUGUUAUUGGGCCUAAUGUUGCAGUAAAUGGCAUUGCGUCCAAUGAAGGGGAUAAUAAGAAAAAGAAAACGUUAUUGGGUCUAAUGUUGCAAUAAAUGAUACCAGUCCAAAUGAAAGUGAUAAUGAUAAAGGAUCUUAUGAUAAUGGACACAAGGAGGGAAAUAUGUUAUUUUUGAUGAAGAUUGUAAUGAGAAAAGUGAUGAUAGUGCUUUAUAGAUUCAUUUUGAUGACUCAGAAGAAGAUAUUGGACUUAAAGAUUAUUUCAACAAAGAAAUUGUUGACCAAAUUGAACCCAACAUAAGUGAAGUUGUUGGUUAGGAAGUCACUGUUAAGAAUGUUGUUGACAAUACUGGGUCCAAAGAAGUUGUUCACCAUAUUGUUAGUAAAAGGAAUGAAGCUAGUGAUAAUGAGUCACAAAAGAAGAGAGGAAGACAAAAAAAAAAAACAGCCUAUAG